rnacentral:rRNA from 1 species
UACGUAGGGUGCGAGCGUUAAUCGGAAUUACUGGGCGUAAAGCGUGCGCAGGCGGUUAUAUAAGACAGAUGUGAAAUCCCCGGGCCCAACCUGGGAACUGCAUUAGUGACUGUAUAGCUAGAGUGCGGCAGAGGGGGAUGGAAUUCCGCGUGUAGCAGUGAAAUGCGUAGAUAUGCGGAGGAACACCGAUGGCGAAGGCAAUCCCCUGGGCCUGCACUGACGCUCAUGCACGAAAAGCGUG